UCUUCCGCGCCGGACCGUGUACAAGUCUCCUGGAAGGGAGCAUCGUAGAGGGUGACAAUCCCGUCUCUGACACGGAUCCCCGGUGCUAUGUGAUGCGCUCUCGACGAGUCGAGUUGUUUGGGAAUGCAGCUCAAAUCGGGUGGUAAACUCCAUCUAAAGCUAAAUACAGGCGAGAGACCGAUAGCGAACAAGUACCGUGAGGGAAAGAUGAAAAGAACUUUGGAAAGAGAGUUAAACAGUACGUGAAAUUGCUGGAAGGGAAACGCUUGACGUCAGUCGCGUCGUCCGGGGAUCAACCUCGCUUUUCGCUGGGCGUAUUUCCCGGUCGACGGGUCAGCAUCGAUUUCGACCGUCGUAGAAGGACGCGAGUGAAUGUGGCACUCCACGGGGUGUGUUAUAGCCUCGCGUAUGGAUGCGAUGGUCGGGAUCGAGGAACUCGGCACGACCCCUCGAGGGUUCGGGGCUUCGGUCCACGCGCGUGCCCAGGAUGCUGGCGUAAUGGCUUUAAGCGACCCGUCUUGAAACACGGACCAAGGAGUCUAACGUGCCUGCGAGUGUUCGGGUGCAAAACCCGAGCGCGCAACGAAAGUGAAAGUCGAGACCUCCGUCGUGGAGGGCACCGACGCCCGGACCGGAGCCUUUGGCGAUGGAUCUGCGGUAGAGCAUGUAUGUUGGGACCCGAAAGAUGGUGAACUAUGCCUGAAUAGGGCGAAGCCAGAGGAAACUCU
rnacentral:rRNA from 1 species